rnacentral:rRNA from 1 species
CUACGGGAGGCAGCAGUGGGGAAUUUUGGACAAUGGGCGCAAGCCUGAUCCAGCCAUGCCGCGUGAGUGAAGAAGGCCUUCGGGUUGUAAAGCUCUUUCGGUAGGAACGAAAUGGUUCGUGCUAAUACCACGGACUGAUGACGGUACCUGAAGAAGAAGCACCGGCUAACUACGUGCCAGCAGCCGCGGUAAUACGUAGGGUGCAGGCGUUAAUCGGAAUUACUGGGCGUAAAGCGUGCGCAGGCGGUUUCUUAAGUCAGAUGUGAAAGCCCCGGGCUUAACCUGGGAACUGCGUUUGAAACUGGGAGACUAGAGUGUGGCAGAGGGGGGUGGAAUUCCACGUGUAGCAGUGAAAUGCGUAGAUAUGUGGAGGAACACCGAUGGCGAAGGCAGCCCCCUGGGUUAACACUGACGCUCAUGCACGAAAGCGUGGGGAGCAAACAGGAUUAGAUACCCCGGUAGUCCC